rnacentral:lncRNA from 10 species
GCUUUCUUGCCGUGAUGGCCGCCGCCGAGGCAGGGAGUUGAGGGUUUCUGCCUUUCGGAGGGUUUGGGGGGCUGUCGGUCCCGUUAGAAGGCCACCAACAGCCCCCCAGGUUGCCAAGGGCCUGUUAGUUGUGUUCCUGGAAGGUGGGCAAGCAGCCUGAUGGGUUAACAUUGGGAUUUGCCGUCGUUAUAGCGGUCAAGGGGCCUGUAGCGGCUGCAGGGUCGGUGAGGGUUCCCAGCCGGCCGGACCUUGGUCGUCUGGCAUUCUGCCUUUGAAAUAUCUGGGUGGCCGGCGCCUAGGCAUAUGGGGUUGUGCUUUCUGUGUUGUGGUUUGUAGCUUGCAUCCUCCACUGUUCUUAGCGCAUUUGGCUCUGUCCAUAUGGCUGUUGGUACUCAUGGCCCUAUUUGGGGUUGGACUGGGCUCUUUUUCUUGGGUCUGGUGGGAUUUAAGCAAGAACUGGAAUUUUGUAAGAUGUACAGCAGUGUCCUGGGUGUUGUCUGUCUGGUGUGGGGUGUGAGCAGUUGCAGGAGUUAUGAACGUGUCCAUGAUCGUGUGGUUGGCUUUCCCUUGCAUGUGGUGAACUUUCCCCUCGUUUGCUAAUGCUGAAAGGCAGUGUCAGGCAGUUCCUACUUGUGAAAUGCCUUCUUAUUAACUUGGAUGUGUUCCUAAAUCUUGGGAGCUUUGCAAUUGCUUGUAGAAAGAUAUGUGUGCAAAACUGAAUUUAAAACGAGCACCAGGGUUGCAGGUACCUUUAGUUCUAGGGAGCCAGCUCCCCCAGGCUUCCCUGGUGCUGUGAAGUUGUUUGAGUUUAUUUAUGGAAAUUAGGUUUGCUUUGAGCUGUGUUACCUUACUCUUGGCUCAGAGUUUCUCUGCAUGUUGGGACCCUGAUCUUUGAUAUUGGGUACUGUUUCAACAUUUGAGGCUAAAUGAAGCACCGUGUACUGAUGUGUAAUGUCGUGUAUCACAAUCUCAGGAUAACACUAGAUAGCCAAGAAUGGCAGUACCUGUUUUGUCUGUCUACACGAAUUGGACCUCAUUGUUUCUGCCACAAUGUACUGCUCCAUAAAUUCCGCCUUAUUUCCAUGGUAUUGUCUGUAAGUUUUGAAAUCUAACUGGUCAUGAAAAGCCAUUUUUCAGGCAGUAUUUAAAAGCUUUUUCCCACAAGUAGAACUGGUAUCUAAAACAUUUUUUCAUUCAAGUUUGGUAAGGUGGGAGAUUUGAAAUAAGGUACAACAGUGGUUUUGGAAAUCAGCUAUCAAGUUUUAGUUUUAGGGGCCACCACGUGACAGAAAUGAUUUAUAGAGAGAGUAAAAAUUGUAUUCCAUUUCUCUUGGUAUUUUAGUGCAUAUAAAAACUAAAUAAACCACUUUCAUAUAUCAUUAAAAAGCC